GAAAGUUUGAUUUUCUUCUCGUGAACUGGACAUCCUUUUAUUUACGUUUGAAGUUUUUGGGCUUUUAAAUGUUUAGGGCGCGUUUUCAAAAACAACAAUUGAUUUCAAAAUAACACGACAACAAGCAAAGCUUCCGCAAUGAAAGUAUUUUCCAAAAUUAAUCACUUUUCCUAAAAAUGACUUAAUCAAAUCGGUUUCCUAGAAAUAUCCAUGACGUUAAGGUGUGGCAAUGGCGGUAUGCAUGUCUAGGAUUGGAUCCAAAGGGAGCUUGGUACUUAAGCAGUCCGAUGGACUCACCACCUCUUUUCCGAUUUCCUACCUGGUGCACAGCUUCCAUUCACUUUAACCUUUAAUGAAUUAAUCUUUUGAACAUCAA